AGGGUCGACAGAUCCCAUCUUGGUGUACAUCUUAUUUUUACAAUGAAUCUACUGUAGCCAACAUACAUAACAAGAUUCUGAAUGGCUAGAUAAUCAAGUGAUUAUGCAAUCAAACUACAGUAACCCCACUGUGAACAGUCGAGGCACCUCAGAUCAAAGAACUAUCUACACCACUACAACUAUGAAUUAGUCAUUGAUGAGUGGGUAGCUAUCUUAGUGAC
rnacentral:lncRNA from 1 species